GACGAACGCUGGCGGCGUGCUUAACACAUGCAAGUCGAACGGAAAGGCCCUGCUUUUGUGGGGUGCUCGAGUGGCGAACGGGUGAGUAACACGUGAGUAACCUGCCCUUGACUUUGGGAUAACUUCAGGAAACUGGGGCUAAUACCGGAUAGGAGCUCCUGCUGCAUGGUGGGGGUUGGAAAGUUUCGGCGGUUGGGGAUGGACUCGCGGCUUAUCAGCUUGUUGGUGGGGUAGUGGCUUACCAAGGCUUUGACGGGUAGCCGGCCUGAGAGGGUGACCGGCCACAUUGGGACUGAGAUACGGCCCAGACUCCUACGGGAGGCAGCAGUGGGGAAUAUUGCACAAUGGGCGGAAGCCUGAUGCAGCAACGCCGCGUGUGGGAUGACGGCCUUCGGGUUGUAAACCGCUUUCGCCUGUGACGAAGCGUGAGUGACGGUAAUGGGUAAAGAAGCACCGGCUAACCACGUG
rnacentral:rRNA from 1 species